GGACAGAAAGCACUCCAGAUGAAACGGCUUAAUAAACAAGAAGUCAUAAAGUAGAGGCAAAGUCCAAAUACUAUGUCUCACUGCUGAUUUAAUCACAUCCACAGACUCUCAUUCUUCCACACUUUCAGUCAUCUACUGGAUCAUAUUUGGCUCAAAGACAAAAGAUGAUCAUCUACACCCAAACAUAAUGGCAAUAACAUGACCACGGCAUUCAUCUGCCGACACCUAAUUAACCAGCUCUUGCCGAGUGACCCUGC